GGCGGCAGGCUUAACACAUGCAAGUCGAACGGUAACAGAGAAUAGCUUGCUAUUUUGCUGACGAGUGGCGGACGGGUGAGUAAUGCUUGGGUAUAUGCCAAUAGGUGGGGGACAACAGUUGGAAACGACUGCUAAUACCGCAUAAUCUCUUCGGAGCAAAGCAGGGGACCUUCGGGCCUUGCGCCUAUUGAUUAGCCCAAGUGGGAUUAGCUAGUUGGUAAGGUAAUGGCUUACCAAGGCGACGAUCCCUAGCUGGUCUUAGAGGAUGACCAGCCACACUGGAACUGAGACACGGUCCAGACUCCUACGGGAGGCAGCAGUGGGGAAUAUUGCACAAUGGAGGAAACUCUGAUGCAGCCAUGCCGCGUGUGUGAAGAAGGCUUUCGGGUUGUAAAGCACUUUCAGCGAGGAGGAAAGGGUUGUAGUUAAUAACUGCAAUCUGUGACGUUACUCGCAGAAGAAGCACCGGCUAACUCCGUGCCAGCAGCCGCGGUAAUACGGAGGGUGCAAGCGUUAAUCGGAAUUACUGGGCGUAAAGCGCGCGUAGGUGGUUAAUCAAGUCAGAUGUGAAAGCCCAGGGCUCAACCUUGGAACUGCAUUUGAAACUGGUUGACUAGAGUUUUGUAGAGGGUGGUAGAAUUUCAGGUGUAGCGGUGAAAUGCGUAGAGAUCUGAAGGAAUACCAGUGGCGAAGGCGGCCACCUGGACAAUAACUGACACUGAGGCGCGAAGGCGUGGGGAGCAAACGGGAUUAGAUACCCCGGUAGUCCACGCAGUAAACGAUGUCUAUUAGAAGUUUGUGGCUAUAUGCCGUGGGUUUCAAAGCUAACGCAUUAAAU
rnacentral:rRNA from 1 species